rnacentral:lncRNA from 1 species
AGCUUUUGAGUGGAACCAUGGAGGGGCCCGUUAGUGCACUAAGUUGAAAUUAAAGGUCUAGUCGAUGAACUUUAUUGUAUGGAGUGUGUUAUAAGAAAAAUAUGAUAGUUCAAAUAAUGUAGAAAAAUACACACCUCCAAUUCUUAUUGAUUUGUGCUACUGAAAAAUAGAGAAGUGCUUAAUUUGAAAGAGGGCUAUGUUGUAUAUGAC